rnacentral:rRNA from 1 species
CACGUAGGGGGCAAGCGUUGUCCGGAUUUAUUGGGCGUAAAGAGCGUGUAGGCGGCCAAGUAGGUCCGUUGUGAAAACUCGAGGCUCAACCUCGAGACGCCGAUGGAAACCAUUUGGCUAGAGUCCGGAAGAUGAGAGUGGAAUUCCUGGUGUAGCGGUGAAAUGCGCAGAUAUCAGGAAGAACACCCGUGGCUAAGGCGGCUCUCUAGUACGGUACUGACGCUGAGACGCGAAAGCGUGGGGAGCGAACAGG